UCGCGGCCUAUCAGCUUGUUGGUGAGGUAGUGGCUCACCAAGGCGACGACGGGUAGCCGGCCUGAGAGGGCGACCGGCCACACUGGGACUGAGACACGGCCCAGACUCCUACGGGAGGCAGCAGUGGGGAAUAUUGCACAAUGGGCGAAAGCCUGAUGCAGCGACGCCGCGUGAGGGAUGACGGCCUUCGGGUUGUAAACCUCUUUCAGCAGGGAAGAAGCGAAAGUGACGGUACCUGCAGAAGAAGCGCCGGCUAACUACGUGCCAGCAGCCGCGGUAAUACGUAGGGCGCAAGCGUUGUCCGGAAUUAUUGGGCGUAAAGAGCUCGUAGGCGGCUUGUCACGUCGGUUGUGAAAGCCCGGGGCUUAACCCCGGGUCUGCAGUCGAUACGGGCAGGCUAGAGUUCGGUAGGGGAGAUCGGAAUUCCUGGUGUAGCGGUGAAAUGCGCAGAUAUCAGGAGGAACACCGGUGGCGAAGGCGGAUCUCUGGGCCGAUACUGACGCUGAGGAGCGAAAGCGUGGGGAGCGAACAGGAUUAGAUACCCUGGUAGUCCACGCCGUAAACGGUGGGCACUAGGUGUGGGCAACAUUCCACGUUGUCCGUGCCGCAGCUAACGCAUUAAGUGCCCCGCCUGGGGGAGUACGGA
rnacentral:rRNA from 1 species